CCUACGGGUGGCAGCAGUGGGGAAUUUUCCGCAAUGGGCGCAAGCCUGACGGAGCAACGCCGCGUGGAUGAAGAAGUCUUUCGGGACGUAAAAUCCUUUCAGCAGGGACGAAGCGAGUGACGGUACCUGCAGAAGAAGCAUCGGCUAACUACGUGCCAGCAGCCGCGGUAAUACGUAGGAUGCAAGCGUUGUCCGGAAUUAUUGGGCGUAAAGCGAACGUAGGCGGUUAGAUAAGUUUGGUCUUAAAGACCGGGGCUCAACCCCGGGAAUGGAUCGAAAACUGUUUGACUAGAGGAUGUUAGAGGAAAGUGGAAUUCCAAGUGUAGCGGUGAAAUGCGUAGAUAUUUGGAGGAACACCGGUGGCGAAAGCGACUUUCUGGGGCAUUCCUGACGCUGAGGUUCGAAAGCUCGGGGAGCAAACAGGAUUAGAUACCCUGGUAGUC
rnacentral:rRNA from 1 species